rnacentral:tRNA from 1 species
GAGAUGUUAGUAAAACGAUUACAUAGCCUUGUCAAGGCUAAAUUGCAAAUGAAAACCUUGCACAUCUCU